CGACCGGCGCACGGGUGAGUAACACGUAUGAAACCUGCCCGUAGCAGGGGGAUAAGCGGAAGAAAUUCCGUCUAAUACCGCGUAACAACCCAUGGAGGCAUCUCUGUGGGUUUAAAGGAAGCGAUUCCGGCUACGGAUGGUCAUGCGUCGCAUUAGCUUGUUGGCGGGGUAACGGCCCACCAAGGCGACGAUCAGUAGCCGGCCUGAGAGGGUGAACGGCCACAUUGGGACUGAGACACGGCCCAAACUCCUACGGAAGGCAGCAG
rnacentral:rRNA from 1 species